AUGCCAUGAUGAGGAAACUUUUGUAAUAAUUCCUUGAAGUGCUCUCAUGCCUCAUAUAAAGAUUUUUCAUCAAAUUGUUGAAAUGAAAUGACUUUAGUUCGAAGCUU
rfam:Gossypium raimondii Chr10_contig_483, whole genome shotgun sequence.